UACGUAGGGGGCAAGCGUUGUCCGGAAUGACUGGGCGUAAAGGGAGUGUAGGCGGCUUAAUAAGUUAGAUGUGAGAUCCCGCGGCUCAACCGCGGAACUGCAUCUAAAACUGUUGAGCUGGAGUGCAGGAGAGGUGAGUGGAAUUCCUAGUGUAGCGGUGGAAUGCGUAGAUAUUAGGAGGAACACCAGAGGCGAAGGCGACUCACUGGACUGUAACUGACGCUGAGGCUCGAAAGCGUGGGGAGCAAACAGG
rnacentral:rRNA from 1 species